CACAGGUUUCAUGGUCGGCUUUGCCUAUUGCUAAAAAACAUCAAUUUGCAAAGUACCCAGCUAGCACAAUAGCAGCAUCGAGUAUAGCCGCUUCAAUGAGUGGGCUAAAAUGGCAUCUACGCACAGGCCAUAAUCUUCCCUUUUUAUUAGGUCUACUUACGGACUUAACCAGCAUCGAACAAGUUCAACUGCAAGAGUGUAUGUUGCAUAUGGAGACCAUUUUUGACAUUGAACCUCCUAACUCUGCAAAAAUGUACUGCCAGAGACGUUAUCAGACUCAUCCAAACCAGCAAUAUCAUCAGCAGCGCCCGAA